UCAACCGUUGCGAAGAUUCUCGUAAAAACUUUUGCUUUCAAAGUUGGCGUCAAGAAUUCUUUUCAUUUUUGGUGUCUGGUGCUAUCCGACGCUUUAGUAUAGUGACCAGGUUCAAUGAACCUGAAACCCCUACUCCCUUUUUAACCUCUCUUCAUCCAUAAACAUACACAUAACAUAACCAUCUUCUUCAUGAAAUCAGCUGAGCGCCAAAUCAAGAAAAAGAAAAAAAAAACACUCAAAAUUCUCUGUAAUUCUCAGUAAUGCAUUCCCAAUAUUCCAUUGAUGCACUCUUCAGUCAACUUUUUGGUAAUAGCAAGAGCUUCAUAUUUAUUCAGCGCAAUGGACGGUGAAGAUGCGUUGCAUUGGCAGGAUGGUGUUGCAGGGCUGCUAUGGCAAUGACAUGAAUGUGGUAAAGAUGCAUAAAGAUUCAGAUUUAUGUUGACAAAAGAAGAGAGUUCCCCUUUUGAAACUUCAAUUUUUUUGAUAUGUUUGAUCAAUAUGGAACAAGAAGAGAGUUCCCCUUUUGAAACUUCAGAUUAUUUUCAGUUGUUUGAUCAUUGGAUUGGAGGCUGUAAAUGUGACCAAUCUAUCAAUCAAUCUCGAGAAAUUAAGAAAUGGUUCGAUUUA